GAUGAACGCUGGCGGCGUGCCUAAUACAUGCAAGUCGAGCGAACAGACGAGGAUCUUGCUCCUCUGACGUUAGCGGCGGACGGGUGAGUAACACGUGGAUAACCUACCUAUAAGACUGGGAUAACUUCGGGAAACCGGAGCUAAUACCGGAUAAUAUAUUGAACCGCAUGGUUCAAUAGUUAAAGACGGUUUUGCUGUCACUUAUAGAUGGAUCCGCGCCGCAUUAGCUAGUUGGUAAGGUAACGGCUUACCAAGGCAACGAUGCGUAGCCGACCUGAGAGGGUGAACGGCGACACUGGGACUGAGACACGGUCCAGACUCCUACGGGAGGCAGCAGUAGGGAAUCUUCCGCAAUGGGCGAAAGCUUGACGGAGCAACGCCGCGUGAGUGAUGAAGGUCUUCGGAUCGUAAAACUCUGUUAUUAGGGAAGAACAAAUGUGUAAGUAACUAUGCACGUCUUGACGGUACCUAAUCAGAAAGCCACGGCUAACUACGUG
rnacentral:rRNA from 1 species